rnacentral:rRNA from 1 species
AGAGGUUGAUCUUGGCUCAGGACGAACGCUGGCGGCGUGCCUAAUACAUGCAAGUAGAACGCACAGUUUAUACCGUAGCUUGCUACACCAUAGACUGUGAGUUGCGAACGGGUGAGUAACGCGUAGGUAACCUGCCUAUUAGAGGGGGAUAACUAUUGGAAACGAUAGCUAAUACCGCAUAACAGUAUGUAACACAUGUUAGAUGCUUGAAAGAUGCAAUUGCAUCGCUAGUAGAUGGACCUGCGUUGUAUUAGCUAGUAGGUAGGGUAAAGGCCUACCUAGGCAACGAUACAUAGCCGACCUGAGAGGGUGAUCGGCCACACUGGGACUGAGACACGGCCCAGACUCCUACGGGAGGCAGCAGUAGGGAAUCUUCGGCAAUGGGGGGAACCCUGACCGAGCAACGCCGCGUGAGUGAAGAAGGUUUUCGGAUCGUAAAGCUCUGUUGUUAAGGAAGAACGAGUGUGAGAAUGGAAAGUUCAUACUGUGACGGUACUUAACCAGAAAGGGACGGCUAACUACGUGCCAGCAGCCGCGGUAAUACGUAGGUCCCGAGCAUUGUCCGGAUUUAUUGGGCGUAAAGCGAGCGCAGGCGGUUAGAAAAGUCUGAAGUGAAAGGCAGUGGCUCAACCAUUGUAGGCUUUGGAAACUGUUUAACUUGAGUGCAGAAGGGGAGAGUGGAAUUCCAUGUGUAGCGGUGAAAUGCGUAGAUAUAUGGAGGAACACCGGUGGCGAAAGCGGCUCUCUGGUCUGUAACUGACGCUGAGGCUCGAAAGCGUGGGGAGCGAACAGGAUUAGAUACCCUGGUAGUCCACGCCGUAAACG